GCUAUUAGGUAUUGAUCUGAAUGACUUAGAUAUUUUUGCUAUUACAAAGUGAAAACAAAUAUGAAAACUAUGGCUGUGGUAAAAUAACCUGUGAUUCUCUCUUUAUACAAAGGAAUUCCUCAGAUCUUGUUGCUCCUUCCCCUGAUGCUUUCCGAUCUACCCCUUUUAUCGUUCCUAGCAGUCCCACAGAGCAAGAAGGGAGAAAAGAUGAACCAGUAGAUAUGUCAGUGUUAACUGAGGGCAGGGUGGAGCCUUUUCAGAAGAAACUCCAAGCCGAUGACCCAGCGCAAACAGAAAACACAGCUCUCCCAUCUGCAUGUACUGUGCCUCCGCAGGUGUCCACGCCAGUGUCUCAGAGCACACCAGUAUUCACCCCUGGUUCCCUUCUUAUCCCAUCACAGCCUGAGUUUUCACAUGACCUUUUCAUCCCAUCACCAAGUUUGGAAGAACGAUCAAAUGAUGACAAGAAAGGGGAUUCUUGCAAGUUGAUGCUUUCUGCAAGUGAGUACAGUCAGUCCCCAAAGAUGGAGAGCUUGAGUUCUCAUAGAAUUGAUGAAGAUGGAGAAAACUCACAAGUUGAGGAUACUGAACCCUUAUCUCCAGUUCUCAAUUCUAAACUUGUUCCUGCUGAAAGUGACAGUGUCCUGAUGAAUCCAGCACCACAUGACCAAGUAGAACUGAAUCAGAAUGAUGACAAGACAAAAGGAAGUGACACAGAGAAUAAGGAUAACACGAGUAUUUUAGCCACUGGUUUCAAAGAAAGAGAAGAAACUGUAACUGAAGACAUUUGCAUCGAUCUCACUUGUGAUUCAGGGAGUCAGGCAGUUCCUUCUCCAGCUACUCGAGCUGAGACACUUUCUAGUGUUUUAGAUCAAGAGGAAGCUAUGGAAGUUACAGAACACCAGCCAGAGGAGGGAUCUUUGGGAUCUGAGGUAGAAGAAAUCCCGGAGACUCCUUGUGAAAGUCAUGGAGAGGAGUCCAAAGAAGAAAAUACAGAGAAUGUUCCGUUUCAUCUUUCUCUGACUGAAACUCAGUCCCAAGGAUUUUGUCUUCCAAAGGAAAUCCCCAAACAAGAAUGCCCAGAAGCUAUGGAAAUUGAAAGCAGCAUGAUUAGUAUUGAUUCCCCCCAGAAACUGCCAGUACUUGACCAAGAAUUAGAACAUAAAGAUCAGGAAGCUUGGGAGGAAGCUACUUCUGAGGAUUCGAGUGUUGUCAUUGUAGAUGUGAAGGAGCCAUCUCCCAGAGUUGAUGCUUCUUGUGAACCUUUGGAGGGAGUGGAGAAAUGCUCAGAUUCCCAGUCCUGGGCGGAUAUUGCUCCAGAAACAGAACCCUGUGCUGAGAAUAGAUUAGAUCCCCAGGAAGAGAAGAAUGUAGACUAUGAUGGAGGUCUGAAAUCAGUGACUACAGAAAAGGAACCUGCAGAGGAAGACUCAGCGCAGCCUCCCUUUCCCUUAGUGAGAGCAGAUGAGGCUCCUGGACCUGAGCGAGAAAUGCAGCAGUGCCAGCUUCCAGAGAAAACCGACAGUUCACUAGCAGAAGACUCCAAAACAGCUAAUGCAAAGCAGCCAGGCUCAGGUGGAGAGGCUGGGCAGCUCGAGAAGAAUUCUGCCCAUGCCUCACAGAGCUUCUGUGAAAGUUCUAGCGAAACCCCAUUUCAUUUCACUUUGCCUAAAGAAGGUGAUAUUAUCCCACCAUUGACUGGCGCAACCCCACCUCUCAUUGGGCACCUAAAAUUGGAGCCCAAGAGACAUAGUACUCCUAUUGUGCUGGGAGGUAACAGUCAUGCCGUCUGGAGUCUCCUGCUACCUAUGCCUGAUGCUGGCAGAUGUGGGUUGGCUGAGGGCUCAUGCAGCAUCCUUUGUCCAGAUGCAGAAGUGGAUCUGAAUCCUGUUGCUCCUCUAAGACCAGGCAUUAAAAACUUUCCAGAAAACACCAUAGCAACCAGUGUUGUCAUGUCUGAAAGCAUGGUAGAGACCAACGAUGCCAUACUUGGGAAUGAAAAAGGGGAUUCUGGGGCUGCUCCGGAAGUGGAUGAGAAACUGUGUCUAAGAAUGAAACUUGUCAGUCCUGAAACAGAGGCCAGUGAAGAGUCUUUGCAAUUUAGUCUGGAAAAGCCUGCAACUGAUGAAAGAAGAAAUGGUUCUACUGCUGUUGCUGUUGCUGAGGCUGUUGCCAGUCCCCAGAAGACCGUGUCUGUGUUUAGCUGCAUGUGUGAAGCCCAACAAGAAGAGAAGGCUGGAGGUGAGGAGCUCCCUUCUGCCCCCAUCAGGUGAGCAUUAUUUUCAUGGUAUCUUUUGGGUUCCAUUGACCACAAAAUGCUUGAUACCAGCAUCUAACA
ensembl:lincRNA